rnacentral:rRNA from 1 species
UUUUACAGCAUUAAAUGGAUACUUAAGCAUUAAGAUUUUAAAUGGGCGUUUUAUAACGAAAUAUUGUAAGGAGCAAAUUAUAAUGUUUAGAUUUACAAUUCCCCAUGAAUUCGGAAAACUGACCUUCAGCUAAUGAAGGAUUGCUUGAAACUUUUUUAAGCAAAAAAUUUGGUGAAUUGAACCAUCUAAGUAACCAAAGUCCAAAAAUCAAACGAGGUGCUGUUAGUAGUGGCGAGCGAACGCAGUAAUAGACUUAAAAGAUUGAUAAAUUUAUUUAAUAUUUACGAUAGCCAUAGUAUGGUGACCUAGGUACUAGGAUAGCCCUGUGAAAUAAAAGUUUAAAUCUUUAUUUAGUAGAAUAAACUAAGUCAUAGUUUGUUUGAAUAUUGGGGGACCACCCUCAAAGUCUAAAAUUCUUAAUGACUGAUAGUGCAUAGUACCGUGAGGGAAAAGUGAAAAAGACUUUGCGAAAGUGAAAAGACUUUGAAAUUUAAUGCUAACAAUCUGUCGUAGUUUUUAAAAUGACGACGUACCUUUUGCAUAAUGGACCAACAAGUUUAUUUUAGUGGCGAGCUUAAGUAAUUAGAUACGUAGGCGCAAAGAAAUUAAGUUUUAAAAGGCUAUUUUUAGUCUCUAGAAUAAGACCCGAAACUAAGUGAUCUAGUCAUGAACUGGUUGAAGUUUAGGCGGAAACGCCUUUCGGAGGACCGAACCCGUGUAUGUGGAAAAAUACUGGGAUGAUUUGUGAUUAGGGGUGAAAGGCCAAUCAAACUUAGAGAUAGCUGGUUUUCUGCGAAAUCUAUUUUAGUAGAGCGUUUAAAUAACUUUUUUAAAGGUAGAGCUCUCGAUAAACGAUGGGGACUUAACGUUUUACUGAAUUUAUUGAAACUUCGAAUGUUAAUUAUAAUGAAUUUAAACAGACAGACUGUGAGUGCUAAGAUUCACGGUCAAAAGGGAAACAGCCCAGAUUAUUAACUAAGGCUCUUAAAAAUGAUUAAGUGAAAAAAUUGUAAAAAAAUGUUGACAAUCGAAAAGUAGGCUUAGAGGCAGCCAUCUUUUAAAGAAAGCGUAACAGCUCAUUGGUUUAGUUUUUUUGUAUUGAAAAUGUAUGGAACUAAAAUCAUUUGCCGAAGUUGUAAAUUUAUGAGAAUUAAAUGGUAGCAGAACGUUCUGUAGGUUUAAGAAGUUUUAUAGCAAUAUAAAAUGGAGACAUCAGAAAUGAAAAUGUUGGUAUGAGUAACGACAAACAAUGUGUAAAACAUUGUCGCCUUAAGUUCAAGGUUUCCAAAACAAGGCUAAUCCGUUUUGGUAUUUAAUUUAUUGUUAAUCGGUCUCUAAGGAUAAAAACGAAAGUUUUAGUUCAAUGAGAGAAAAAUAAUUUUUUAUUCUUCAAAAGUGACAAAAUAUGAAUGUUAUUUUUAUUUUAUGGUUUAAAUAGAAGUUUUAUAGUAUUUUCUAGAAAUAGCUUUUGAAUUAAUUAACCGUACCCUAAACCGACACAGGUGAACAAGUUUAGUAAACUAAGGCGCUUGAGAGAAUUAUGUUGAAGGAACUCGGCAAAAUGACUCCGUAACUUCGGAAUAAGGAGUGACUUUACAAGGGUAACCUUGCAAAGUUGUCACAAAAUCGGGGACAGCGACUGUUUAUUAAAAACACAGGUUUCUGCGAAUUCGUAAGAAGAUGUAUUGAAACUGACGCCUGCCCAGUGCUGCAAGAUUAAAGGAAAAAGUCAUUUGGCUUUGACCCUAACUCCCAGUAAACGGCGGCUGUAACUCUGACGGUCCUAAGGUAGCGAAAUUCCUUGGCAUUUGAUUGGUGUCCUGCAUGAAUGGCGUAACGACUGUCCUACUGUCUCCAACAUAAACUCAGUGAAAUUGAAUUUUUCGUGAAGAUGCGAAAUUCUUGCAGCUAGACGGAAAGACCCCGUGCACCUUUACUGCAGUUAUACAUUGUAAUAAGAUUUUUUUUGUGUAGCAUAAGUGGGAAGUUAUCUUAUUAGCUCUUUGCGCAAGCAAACAAGUUAAACAUCAUUGAAAUACCACUCUAAAAAUUUUUUAUUACUUAUUAUUUAAGACAGUGUAUAAUGGGUAGUUUGACUGGGGCGGUCGCCUCCUAAA